UACAGAGGUCUCAAGCGUUGUUCGGAUUCAUUGGGCGUAAAGGGUGUGUAGGUGGCGCGCUAAGUCGGGUGUGAAAUUUCGGAGCUUAACUCCGAAACUGCAUUCGAUACUGGCGUGCUUGAGGACUGGAGAGGAGACUGGAAGUUUACGGUGUAGCAGUGAAAUGCGUAGAUAUCGUAAGGAAGACCAGUGGCGAAGGCGGGUCUCUGGACAGUUCCUGACACUGAGACACGAAGGCCAGGGGAGCAAACGGG
rnacentral:rRNA from 1 species